GACGUAGGGCGCGAGCGUUGUCCGGAUUUAUUGGGCGUAAAGAGCUCGUAGGCGGCUUGUUGCGUCGACUGUGAAAACCCGCGGCUUAACCGCGGGCUUGCAGUUGAUACGGGCAGGCUAGAGUUCGGUAGGGGAGACUGGAAUUCCUGGUGUAGCGGUGAAAUGCGUAGAGAUGUGGAGGAACACCGAUGGCGAAGGCAGCCUUCUGGGCCAACACUGACGCUCAUGCACGAAAGCGUGGGGAGCAAACAGG
rnacentral:rRNA from 1 species